UGGCUCAGGACGAACGCUGGCGGCGUGCUUAACACAUGCAAGUCGAACGGGGAUCAUCGGGCGGAAGGCUUCGGCCGGAAGGCUGGUGAUUCUAGUGGCGGACGGGUGAGUAACGCGUGAACAAUCUGUCCCAGACAGGGGGAUAACACUUGGAAACAGGUGCUAAUACCGCAUGAGACCACGGUGUCGCAUGGCACAGGGGUAAAAGGAGUAAUCCGGUUUGGGGUGAGUUCGCGUCCGAUUAGCCAGUUGGCGGGUAACGGCCCACCAAAGCGACGAUCGGUAGCCGACCUGAGAGGGUGAUCGGCCACAUUGGAACUGAGAGACGGUCCAAACUCCUACGGGAGGCAGCAGUGGGGAAUAUUGGGCAAUGGGCGAAAAAGCCUGACCCAGCAACGCCGCGUGAGUGAAGAAGGCCUUCGGGUUGUAAAGCUCUGUUAUAGGGGACGAAGUGCGUGACGGUACCCUAUAAGGAAGCCCCGGCUAACUACGUGCCAGCCGCCGC
rnacentral:rRNA from 1 species